GGAGAGAUGGCCGAGCGGACGAAGGCGCUUGACUCGAAAUCAAGUGAGGGGCUUUGCGCCUCUCCGUGGGUUCGAAUCCCACGCUCUCCG
rnacentral:tRNA from 1 species